rnacentral:lncRNA from 1 species
GCGUCUGCAUUAAAAUAUGUUCCCCAGGUGUUUGCAGAGCAGGGCCCUUAGAUUGGGAAGCUUAGCGUUAGAGAGAAAAGAGGAGGCAGCUGCGGAGAUCAUGCGGGGGAGGGGCCUGGCGGAGCCUCUGCAGCCUGCAGCACCCGGCCCGACUUCUCUAGAGAGUCUGGUGGCUCCUCUUGGGAUCCAAAGUCAACAGUUUUCCCGCCGAGCGGAGGACUUUAACUUUACUGAAGAAUCAGGUAUUGUUUGCUGCCUUCAGGAAGAGAAACUGGGUCAUUGCAAGCCAAGGAAGGGAAAGCAAUUUUUCACUCCAAUAAGUCCUACGAAUGUAUUACCUCUUCAGAAAGUACAACAUUUUGGAGGCCCCAGUGAGAUAUGGAGCCCACCUCUGGGAAGACCUCGCUCCAGUCAUUCCAGGUUGGUGCUCUGGCCAUAG